AAGAUUGUGGAAGUCACGCCACACAAGUCUCUAGGGAAGAUUACCCAAGGCGUCUUCCUAUCCCGCUUUCGGGAUAAAACUGAAGGGCAAAGGAAUAGCCCUCUGCUCAUAUACGUCAUGUGGAUGAACAUGAUCAUGGUUCAAAGAUCAAACGGCAGCCGCACACUGCUUGGUGGCCCACCUCCCUUCCUGCCUCCACAAGGCACUGGUGUGGACAUGGCUGUGAGUGGCAGCACCCCCUCGGCCAUCCUGUCGGCAAUCACCCCUCGCAACCGCUCUGCAAUGGUAUGGAGGCAGAGCAGCAAAAUUCUUGAAGUUUACCAGGGGUGGGGUGGGAAGAGGAACGCUGCAGCAUCUGCCACCAAACAUUUUACAAGUACAGGUCCAGUUCUCAUGCAAAGGGACUGGCUAUCGAGAUACCAGCUAGCCCUCAUCUGGGCACAGCCAGACAAAAUGCUAGGGUUUCUUUGAGCUCUUCUGCCCUCCUGGGAUGUGCAUGAUGACCUAGUCUGAUCAGGAUGGUGGCAUCCAGGGAAGAGGGAUUAAGCCUGACUCUUCACACUAUUUUCCUGAUCAGAAAUGGCCCCAAGGAGCUACUGAUCGUCCCUUCAGGUUAAGGAUACACUGAUUCCUUGCAAUCAGAAGUGAUCAGCUUCAGGGGAAAGUAGUCAAAUAUUUGAUUAUCUAGAAGCCCCUUAUAGACUUUUUGCAAGAAACAGAAAGAGAUGAACUAAUAAUCUGUGCUUGUGAAGAUUAAGGAGAGGGAAAAAUAUAUAAAUGGAAAGGAAAAGUAGCUACUUAAUGAUUAUUUUAGAAUUAGUAUAUAAUAUGUAUUAAUGUUAGCAUCUUUCAAAUGGAAAAUGGGUACCUACUCCUAUUUAUAUAAGUAUAUUCUUAUCUCCUUUUUUUCUUUUUGUAGGUUUUAGAAUUUUAAAAUUUUAAUGAAACUCUAUUUUUAAAAAAAGAUCAGCUGAGGUUUCCUUGAUAAAAGCCAGAGGCAGGAGAUGUUCCCUGAUUGCUAGGAGCCACUCUGCAGCGACUGAAGUGUAAUGCACAGCAUUACGCUGGGCCACAGGGGCGCUGCGUGUUAUGGGGGUUUUGUCACCAGUUUUAUCUGUUUUAAUUUUGCACUGUCCAUUUAAUUGUUAUAUUGUAUAUUAUAUUGCAUUUUAAUUUGGUUGUGAUCCACUCUGAGCAUGUGCAGGGAGAAUGGAUUAUAAACAAAGGAACAAAAGACUGAACGAACGAAAUGAAGAAAGGAAGAAAUGAAGAAAGAAAAAGAAAGAAAAAGAAAGAGAGAAAGAUGGGGAAGGUGGCACCUGUGGGAGGGAGCCAGAGAAACAUUUUGAAGAGAUUAAGCAAAAACAGGCUUACAUAGGAAGGGGGAGGAGGUUAGGAGGGGAGCACAGUUUGACGCAGGGGUGGCUUCUUGAAGAGCCAUCUUGCUUUGAAGAGGCGCUGCUUAAAUAAAGGCAAAAGCACAUGUUGCAAAGAUAGCAUAGGUCCCCCACCUCCACCAUGUUCUUUCUUCUGAAGGAAGCCAGACCUCGUAGCACUGAUCUGGAACUUCAGUGUUGAGGUGACCCUGUAUAUGGCACAGCAGUUAUCACUGUUUGCUGAAAGAGUGGCUGUAAUUGCCGCAUCUUUUUGUGCCUGCUUGAAUUCAAACAGAAAGGCAUGUGAGUAAUGUGCUGGGUAGAACGUAUUUUGGGCAAUGGUAGUUAUAAGACCUUAGUGUUCACCUGUUUUGGAUUUUGUCUACUGAAACUACAUUUGACUUCCUUGGGGUAAGUGGCAUAUCAACUAAAUAAAUCACACGGGACAGACUUCAGGGCAGGUUGCCUUGAAAGUGAGGGGGUGGCACUGAGGAGGUACUCACGCUUUCACAUCUUCUGGCAGGUUUGGGACAACAGUGUAUUGGCAGCAGAGGAACAGAGAGGGAUACCCAAGGUCAGCAAUUUCUGCAUUGCCUUUCAUUGGAGGAGGCUGGCAGCUGAGGAUAAGACCAGUGGCGGACAUCAGAAGGACCACGAAGACAGCGCCUGCUCUUCCAGGUCUACGACACACACCAAUUUCAUUCUGUGCAAUGAUUGCAACCCUGAUGACCUUUUAAUUUCUUCACCUGUGGCUGGGACACAUGUGUCUACCAAGAUGCAAUGUAGAUGGUACAACAUGACUCAGCCCUAGCUGUGGCCGGCUGGCAGCAGAUGUCGUUGGAUAACUUCCUCAGGGGAUGUAGGAUCCCUGUAUCUAUUAUAUAAGCAAGAUAUAAUCAUCUUCAAUAAUGGGCAUACUCAAACCACUUCAUAUAAUGGUGCAUACUCGAACCACUUAUUCAAAUAAACAGUUACUCACCUUGAAA